AAACCAUGCAUUGAGCAUUUUCUACUUAGUUCAUUGAAACGCUCCCAUGCUUCAUAUAAUGUUUCAUCCUCCUAUUGCUUCAAUGAUGUAAUGUCAUUCCUAAGCUU
rfam:Gossypium raimondii Chr10_contig_397, whole genome shotgun sequence.